rnacentral:lncRNA from 1 species
AGAAAUCAAAAAGAAAAUUCAUGGCAAUUUAACUACAUAAAAAUUAUCCACUUGGGGUAUGUGAAGAACCAAUUGUUAGACUAAGCAUUUUCAGGUGCAUGAAGAUUAUCAAACAAUAUAUGAUGUCGAGAGCAUUUAAACAUUAUACCGAAUUAGCCUUAAACACUUCAAACGAUCAGACUAUACUCCUAACUAAAUAGAUUGGAGAAGUAAGACACUAGAUAUGAG